rnacentral:piRNA from 1 species
ACGGACUAAACUGCUUCAGGAAGAGUG